rnacentral:lncRNA from 1 species
GUAUAGAUAGAGGCUAAUUGGCGAGACGAAUCUAUUAAGUCUAAUUAGUCCGUGAUUUGACAAUAUGAUGCUACAGUAAACAUGCGCUAAUCAUGAGUUAAUUAGGUUUAAUAGAUUCGUCUCACGAAUUAGCCUCCAUCUGUGUAAUUAAUUUUAUAAUUAACUCAUAUUUAGUCCUUCUAAUUAGCCUCCGAAGAUUCGAUAUGACAUGAACUAAUCUUUAAUCCAUACACCCC